rnacentral:rRNA from 1 species
ACGCUCGACACCUACGGGAGGCUGCAGUGGGGAAUAUUGCACAAUGGGGGAAACCCUGAUGCAGCAACGCCGCGUGAGUGAAGAAGUAUUUCGGUAUGUAAAGCUCUAUCAGCAGGGAAGAUAAUGACGGUACCUGACUAAGAAGCUCCGGCUAAAUACGUGCAAGCAGCCGCGGUAAUCUGAGCGGGCUGGCAAGGC